rnacentral:misc_RNA from 1 species
GAACGCAUAUUGCGCUCUUUGGUAUUCCGGAGAGCAUGCCUGUUUGAGUAUCAGUAAACACCUCAAUUCAAACUCACUUUUUUGGUCUGUUUGAUAUUGGAUUUGAGCAAUUUCCCCCUCAUUACUUUUCUAAAGUAGUAUUUGGGAGGCUUUAAAUGCAAGGUGCAGCAGGAUUUUUAUAUAACAAUCUUUGGCAACAAAAGCGUACUAGUUAAUCCAUUAUUGGAUUAUUAUUUCGCUGAAAUGCUGCUGACUAUUGAAAUUAUCCUUUUAGCUGACUGAUGCAGGAUUUUUAACAAAGGAAUUUUUUCCUUGUGAACUCGAUCUCAAAUCAGGUAGGACUACCCGCUGAACUUAAG